AGCUCUGAGGGAAGCGAGGGAAGGUGUUCCGGAGGGUGUCAGAGUGCAGCCACGCCGGCCAGCCCCUGUAUCCCUGAAAAUGUUUGUUUUGUUGCAUUUAAUUUUUUAGAAAGGUCCCCUGGCUGGAACUUCCCGUGUCUGGCUCGGUCUGUUUGUCUGGGAAGAGCUGGGAAGCCCUUGGACGUCGGAGGCCCCAGCUGCCGCGUCAGCUCAGCAUUGUCACAAAAAUAGCCCUUCUCAGGGAAGGCAGGUACUUCCUCUGGCUGGCUUCCCCUCUCAGCCUGGCCCUCAGAAGAAAAGAGAGGAGAACUGACUGCACACAGGAUCGGGAUGUGGCUGUUACAGUGCUCUUUGUGGACUACUGCAACUGAUUUUCUCAUAACAACGCAAUGAAAUGAAUACAAAUGUAUGAAGAAAAACCUGGAAAGACUGUGGUUGCAAGAGUCGUGAAACAGAACAUCCCUUCUCCCAGUUAUCAC
ensembl:lncRNA